UGGCGAACGGGUGAGUAACGCGUGAGGAACCUGCCUCAAAGAGGGGGACAACAGUUGGAAACGACUGCUAAUACCGCAUAAGCCCACGGCUCGGCAUCGGGCAGAGGGAAAAGGAGCAAUCCGCUUUGAGAUGGCCUCGCGUCCGAUUAGCUAGUUGGUGAGGUAACGGCCCACCAAGGCGACGAUCGGUAGCCGGACUGAGAGGUUGAACGGCCACAUUGGGACUGAGACACGGCCCGG
rnacentral:rRNA from 1 species